ACUCCUACGGGAGGCAGCAGUGGGGAAUAUUGGACAAUGGGGGAAACCCUGAUCCAGCCAUGCCGCGUGUGUGAAGAAGGCCUUCGGGUUGUAAAGCACUUUCAGCGAGGAGGAAAGGGUGUGUGUUAAUACCAUACAUCUGUGACGUUAGCAACAGAAGAAGCACCGGCUAACUCCGUGCCAGCAGCCGCGGUAAUACGGAGGGUGCGAGCGUUAAUCGGAAUUACUGGGCGUAAAGCGCAUGCAGGUGGUUUGUUAAGUCAGAUGUGAAAGCCCGGGGCUCAACCUCGGAACUGCAUUUGAAACUGGCAGACUAGAGUACUGUAGAGGGGGUAGAAUUUCGGAGGUAAGCGGUGAAAUGCGUAGAGAUCUGAAGGAAUACCGGUGGCGAAGGCGGCCCCCUGGACAGAUACUGACACUCAGAUGCGAAAGCGUGGGGAGCAAACAGGAUUAGAUACCCUUGUAGCGAGU
rnacentral:rRNA from 1 species